CCUACGGGAGGCAGCAGUGAGGAAUAUUGGUCAAUGGACGCAAGUCUGAACCAGCCAUGCCGCGUGCAGGAAGACUGCUCUAUGAGUUGUAAACUUCUUUUGUAAGAGGGUAAACGCAGAUACGCGUAUCUGUCUGAAAGUAUCGUAUGAAUAAGGAUCGGCUAACUCCGUGCCAGCAGCCGCGGUAAUACGGAGGAUUCAAGCGUUAUCCGGAUUUAUUGGGUUUAAAGGGUGCGUAGAUGGUCUGAUAAGUUAGAGGUGAAAUCCUGAGGCUCAACUUCGGAAUUGCAUUUGAUACUGGUCGGCUAGAGAGUAGUUGCGGUAGGCGGAAUGUAUGGUGUAGCGGUGAAAUGCUUAGAGAUCAUAAAGAACACCGAUUGCGAAGGCAGCUUACCAAGCUACUUCUGACGUUGAGGCACGAAAGCGUGGGUAGCAAACAGGAUUAGAUACCCGAGUAGUC
rnacentral:rRNA from 1 species